rnacentral:rRNA from 1 species
CCUACGGGUGGCAGCAGUGAGGAAUAUUGGUCAAUGGGCGUAAGCCUGAACCAGCCAAGUCGCGUGAGGGAUGAAGGUUCUAUGGAUCGUAAACCUCUUUUAUAAGGGAAUAAAGUGUGGGACUUGUCCUAUUUUGUAUGUACCUUAUGAAUAAGGAUCGGCUAACUCCGUGCCAGCAGCCGCGGUAAUACGGAGGAUCCGAGCGUUAUCCGGAUUUAUUGGGCUUAAAGGGUGCGUAGGCGGCCUUUUAAGUCAGCGGUGAAAGUCUGGGGCUCAACCCUAGAAUUGCCGUUGACACUGGGGGGCUUGAGUACGUUUGAGGCAGGCGGAAUGCGUGGUGUAGCGGUGAAAUGCUUAGAUAUCGCGCAGAACCCCGAUGGCGAAGGCAGCCUGCCGAGCCAGGACUGACGCUGAUGCACGAAAGCGUGGGGAUCAAACAGGAUUAGAUACCCGGGUAGUC